rnacentral:rRNA from 1 species
GUCCGGUGAAGUGUUCGGAUCGCGGCGACGCCGGCGGUUCCGCCGCCGGUGACGUUGUGAGAAGUUCAUUAAACCUUAUCAUUUAGAGGAAGGAGAAGUCGUAACAAGGUUUCCGUAGGUGAACCUGCGGAAGGAUCAUUGCACACACAAGUUGCAGCCAACCCACGGCGAACGAACACAUUGUCCCCCUCGGUGGGUCGUGGCGCCUCGCGGCGUCGCGGCCGGCCGUCUCCCUUCGUCACGAGCGAGAGCUCGGGGCGUCGGGUUUCCACGAUGAAUCCACGUUGACCGAACGACUGAGUCCCUUUUACUCAAUGGGAGUGAGCUCCGUGCCCCCUUGGCUUCGCUGAGUGGGGCCGGCGCUGGUUACCUAACGAGUUGAAACAUAACCAAAAACAACUCUCAGCAACGGAUAUCUUGGCUCUUGCAACGAUGAAGAACGCAGCGAAAUGCGAUACGUAGUGUGAAUUGCAGAAUUCCGCGAAUCAUCGAGUCUUUGAACGCAAGUUGCGCCCGAGGCUUGUCCAAGGGCAUUUCCGCUAGAGCGUCACCGCGCCCCCCCACCGCUCCACUCCCGCCGGGAGUCGGGUCGAGUGAAAGUGGCCAUCCCGGUGGGCCUUCGAAGGAAGGCCUUAAGGGUUGGCUGAAAUGGAGGGAAUCGGACCGCCGUGGUGACACAGUCCGCGAUCGGGUGAUCCGAGCUCCUCCGUGAGCCCGGAAUUUCUAAGUGCGUGGCUGUGUCCCCCAGUUGGUUGUGGUUACCUCAUGCAGGUCGAGCGCGCCCCCGUGGCGCGCGGUCACGCAUCAAGACCUUCUAAUCGGGAAAAGACU